rfam:Salmo salar isolate Sally breed double haploid chromosome ssa26, whole genome shotgun sequence.
UGUAUUCACUUCUGUAAGUCGCUCUGGAUAAGAGCGUAUGCCAAAUGGUUCAAA